rnacentral:rRNA from 1 species
GUAGAGUGCAUUUUCUAGAGAUGGAAUUCCCUUCGGGGCUUUCUACAAGGUGCUGCAUGGUUGUCGGUCAGCUCGUGCCGUGAGGUGUCGGGUUAAGUCCCAUAACGAGCGCAACCCUUAUCGUUAGUUGCCAUCUGGUAAAGCAGGGGACUCUAGCGAAACUGCCACCGUAAGGUGAGAGGAAGGUGGGGAUGACGUCAAAUCAGCACGGCCCUUAUGUCCAGGGCUACACACGUGUUACAAUGGUCGGUACAGAGGGCAGCUACCUGGUGACAGGAUGCUAAUCUCGAAAACCGGCCUCAGUUCGGAUCGAAGUCUGCAACUCGACUUCGUGAAGCUGGAUUCGCUAGUAAUCGCGCAUCAGCCAUGGCGCGGUGAAUACGUUCCCGGGCCUU